rnacentral:rRNA from 1 species
AGCGCAGGCGGGAAGACAAGUUGGAAGUGAAAUCUAUGGGCUCAACCCAUAAACUGCUUUCAAAACUGUUUUUCUUGAGUAGUGCAGAGGUAGAUGGAAUUCCCGGUGUAGCGGUGGAAUGCGUAGAUAUCGGGAGGAACACCAGUGGCGAAGGCGGUCUACUGGGCACCAACUGACGCUGAGGCUCGAAAGCAUGGGUGCAAACA